rnacentral:rRNA from 1 species
GACGUAGGGGGCGAGCGUUGUCCGGAUUUAUUGGGCGUAAAGAGCUUGUAGGCGGUUUGUCGCGUCUGCUGUGAAAUUUCGGGGCUCAACCCCGAACUUGCAGUGGGUACGGGCAGACUAGAGUGUGGUAGGGGAGACUGGAAUUCCUGGUGUAGCGGUGAAAUGCGCAGAUAUCAGGAGGAACACCGAUGGCGAAGGCAGGUCUCUGGGCCACUACUGACGCUGAGAAGCGAAAGCAUGGGGAGCGAACAGG